CGAAGUCAGGUCAGGCUGAAUGGUCAGGCAGACGGGCUCAGUGUCAGGCCAGGCAGAACAGGUCGGAACCGGGAGGGCUAGAAAACAGAGACUAGAAAAACCAGGAGCACGGAAAAACACGCUGGUAGGCUUGACAAGACGAACUUGCAACAGACAAACAAAGAACACAGGUAGAAAUACACAUGCAAUAAGGAGGAAGAUGAGCGACACCUGGAGGGGGGUGGAAACAAGCACAAAGACAGGUGAAACAGAUCAGGGUGUGACAAUAUUAAUGGCAUAGUUGGUCAUGCACGGAGCACAUGACUGCUUUUCCUUCAGCAAUGUAGGCUAGCUCCAACUCUUUAGAAAAUAUCUCCUGAUUCAGUCCAUGCACUGCGUUAUUAAGCCUGUGCCUUCUUCUUGUUAUGGAUAUAUACUAGGAAACCAAUUAAUUUAAGUGAUUAAAGCACUGGCUAACUAGACUGAAGUUAAGAAGAUUGAGGUCAAACGGUGUUAAUUUAUUUUGAGAAUCCCCUAUUUAUAGCUCCUCGUACACAAAUUAUCAGAAGGGCCCUGCUGCUUACACACUGAUUAAUUCCCAACCUUAAACUGUUUCGUACGAAACAGUUUACGAAGGAUGGACAAUGCCAUCUUUUUUCUCACACAUUUCUCUGUGCCAAAUUGGCAUCAAUAAUAUGAUACUCCAGCCUAGAUGUCCUCCUCCGCUUCACAUCUCAAGACGAGAAGACUGAAGCCUCCCAGCAGAAUUGAUAAUGUCAGUGUCUGUUUCAGACGGCAAGUCUGUGACACUUGUUUUGCGGUGUUAAAACAGACGUCAUGUCAGCUUGGAAGAGGCUGGAAAUAAACAGCUUGUGAUGCAUCUAAUUGUUCCGAUUUCAUCCCCAUUUAACAACAUCACAGGCUUGACAAAGUGCAUCUCAGAGAUGAAAUAGGAUGCUUGCCUCCAACCCAGAGGGCUAAUUAUAAAAUAGCACAAUGCUUUUUCUUUCACUGCUACACUUUUUGGCAUCCUAGCUAAGCUUCAUUAUCACAAUGCUUAUGGACUGAUUUUAAAAUACGCCGAAGAGUCUAAAGAGAGAGAGAGAGAGAGAGUGAGAGCACUGAAAAUCCCCGACACUUGGCUGCUCUGACACCCUGGUUGAACUCGUCCCCAUUAAUGCUGGAUUACUGAGGAGAGGCCAUGUUUUCAUGACAAGGGAAUACGACAGAAUAUUUGAGCCGUGAUAUCAUCACCCACUUUUUAAUUGCUGCAGUAUCUCUGCAUGCACUUUCUAGAUGCCCCAAGCAGCUUUUC
rnacentral:lncRNA from 1 species